CCUACGGGAGGCAGCAGUGAGGAAUAUUGGUCAAUGGGCGCGAGCCUGAACCAGCCAAGUCGCGUGAAGGAUGACUGCCCUACGGGUUGUAAACUUCUUUUAUAAAGGAAUAAAGUGAGGCACGUGUGCCUUUUUGUAUGUACUUUAUGAAUAAGGAUCGGCUAACUCCGUGCCAGCAGCCGCGGUAAUACGGAGGAUCCGAGCGUUAUCCGGAUUUAUUGGGUUGAAAGGGAGCGUAGAUGGGAUGUUAAGUCAGUUGUGAAAGUUUGGGGCUCAACCGUAAAAUUGCAAUUGAAACUGGCAGUCUUGAGUACAGGUGAGGUAGGCGGAAUUCGUGGUGUAGCGGUGAAACGCUUAGAUAUCACGAAGAACUCCGAUUGCGAAGGCAGCUUACUAGACUGCCACUGACAUUGAUGCUCGAAAGUGUGGGUAGCAAACAGGAUUAGAUACCCCAGUAGUC
rnacentral:rRNA from 1 species